UAAAUACCCAAAAGGUACUAGAUCCUGUCUGAUCUAAGGAAUCUAGGCUCUGAUUAGUACUUGCAUGGGAGACAGCCAACAAAUACCAGGAGCUGUAGACUACAUUUCGUAGGAAUGAACUGGCAAAAUCACCUGAGUAUUCCUUGUCCAAGAAAGACACAUCAAUUGAUAGAUGCCUUGAAGGCAAACACACACACACACACACACACACACACAGAGAGAUAAGGUUUAUUGCUUGUGUGUGUGUAUGCAAGUUUAAUAAGGACGGCUAGGUUAAAAAAUAAGUAAUAUGGGUUUUUGUUUGUUUGCAGGUCUGAUAUUAUUCACGCUAUAGUAUGACCCCUUUAUUCAUGGAUAAUACAUUCCAUGAUCAAUUAGGAUACCAAAACUGUGGAUACAAACACAUCCUAUAUUUUCACUAUACUUCAGCUGGAUACAUACGACAGAAUCGCCCUGGGUGAUCUAAAGAGGCCCACUAACAUUUCUGAGGAAUACAUGAGGCCUUGGAUAUUGAAACUGGUUAACAGGAGAGUUGUACUGUAGUUGCAAUCUGUUAUGCCUGUGUCUUUUAAUUUACAAUGCAUGCUUUAAUUUUUGGGAGACUACAGUAGCUUUGAGGUGUCCAAUAUUUCUAUAGAAGAAUAUUUAGGCUAACAGACUAUAACAUUUGCAAACAAGAAUCAUCAGUUUUUUUCCUUUGGGAGUAUUGGUUGCACUGUUUUUGUAGGCACAUAUUACUUAGGCAUUUAGUUUUCUGUGAGAAAUUACCCUGUUAUUCUGUUCAUUUACUGUUGUGACUUAAAAUAAUGUUUAAUCUGAACCCUUCUGAUCUGAGCCAAUCUGUUUAUUUCCUCUAGAGCCCACAAUGCAAAGGUUGCAUGCAUAUACAACAUACAAAUGACAGUCUGACGGCCCCACCACAACACAAAAUCAUGGCCAGGUAUUGCAACAACCUGUUUUGAUUCAGUGCCGAACCUGCAUUUACUUCAGGAGGAUCAUGAAUCAUAAUUGCCCUUCUUUUUCUAAUUGACUCACUGUGCAGUGCAAGAGGAGAUUACAUUGGACAGAAGUCUGAAUUUAUCAUGAUCAGAGGCUGCUUACUCCAGCUCUAAAAACACAUAGGAAGAACAGGAAUAAACCUUCAAAUAUUUAUGAAAACUAUGGCACUUUUGACUGAGACUGCAUGUCUCUUGUCACAGUAUUUAUGAACUGCAACACUGCUGGAUAACAGCAACAAUCCAUCUCAUCUAGCAUUAUGUUUCCCACAAGGGUUAACAAGACAGAAUUGAAAAAGUUACAUUGCCUUAGAACAUGAGGUCCCAUUUACAAUGACAACUAGCUGUCAGUUAGUGUACCAAUGAUUCAAUUUCAAGACAAUCACAUCACUUUGUUGUAGCAAAUUAAAUGCCUGUAACUUUCUUUUGCCUCUUUGUAUUUGUUCACUGGGUAACCCAUAGUAUUGUUGGGAAAAAAUUGACAGAAUUAUCUUCUUCAGGCUUCUUCAACCUGCGAAGUCCUAACCAGCUUGUUCAAUGGUCAGGAAUUUUGGGAGCUAAAAUCCCAAAUAUCUAGAGAGAUGCAAGUUGAAGAGGCCUGUUCUACAGCAUCCUUACAUUUAUAAAUCUUUUAAUCAU